CGCCACUGCCCAGGUCGACUACCACUCCCGGGCACCUCGGGAAGCGAACCAGAGACUGUCCCCUCCGCCAGCAUCCUAGAAGGCCAGGAAAGAGACGAGCUGAGCGCCUCCUUAAAGCUGCGCAGACUGCCCUCAAUCCCUCCCCCCUGGAGCUCCAACUGGUAGUCCCCUGCAUCAGCCUUGCCCAGCUUCUCCUUUCCUCCUCAGCUCAACUCCUGCUUGCCCUUCGGGAGACCCACCCUGGCCACCCUACAGAGGAGGUGCCCUUACCUGUGCCCGGGUGGGGUGCGGGGUCACAGGCCUGGCAUGUGUGAAUCAAUGUCUUCAGUUGCCCUGAAGUAGAGCGUAUCUUGUUGACCUUGAACUUCGGCAUUGAAGGACCCCUCUCCUGAGCUCUCAGCAUCACCUUUGGAGACGCCUAAUAGGAUGUGAGCAUCGUGUACUCUUCCUUCCAUUGCUCACAAAUGUGGCUGCUGCUUGCACACCAAGAACCAUCCUUAACAUGUAGGAGGCACUGGACAUCACUGAUUAAGGAGUGGCAUAUGUAAGCCUGGCUUAUUCACAGGAGUGACUCAUGCCCUGGGACACAAGGCCUUGUCUAGUGUCACAACCCCUUUAGGCAACUAGAUCCUUGUCUUUGAGUAUAAAUGCUUCAGGAGAAACAGCAAUGAUAACCAGGUAGAUACCUGUUUUUGUAACCACCCUUUGAUGACUGUUGAAAAACCAACCUACUUCACCGGUGCAGACUUGACAAGAAUAAUGCUGCUGUAUGGAUCGGGGAAGUGGCUCAGUUGGACGGUUCUUGCCAUGCAAGCAGGAGAAGCUGAGUUUGGAUCCCAGCACGCAGAGAAAAGCACCACAGCGUACGUGUAUGACCCCUGCACUGGGGCAAGCGGUGAAGCACAGAGAAAGAAGGGUCCCUGGAAUGUGUUGGCCAUGCAGGCAGGCCAAACUGCUAAGCUUCAGGAGCAGUGAGCGUAUUGGUUACUUCUCUGUUGCUGUGACCAAAACACCAUAACUUAAAGAAGGAAGAGUUUAUGUAGGGGCUACAGUCCCAGAGGAGGAGAAAUGGUAUCAGAAGACCAAAACAGGAAGCUAAGAAAUCAUAGCUUCAACUGUAAACACAAAGUAGAAAGCAAAAAUGUACGGAUGAAGCUAUGAACCCUCAAAACUGUCCCCAAUGACAUAUUUCUUCCAACAAGGCUGUUUUACCCCACUAAACAUCUCUACAACCAAGUAUUCA
rnacentral:lncRNA from 1 species